rnacentral:tRNA from 1 species
AUUUAGUGACUGAAAAGCAAGUAAUGGUCUCUUAAAUCAAUUAAUGGUAUAGCAAUUACCCUAAAUAAA